UGGCGUUGCAAGCGCCAUGCUCUACCAACUGAGCUACAAGCUUUAUCAUCCCUCAAGGCACGUUUCUCCAUGCAAACUCAUCAACAAGUAGAUAUUAUAGCCUUUUUAGUUUCUCAUGUAAAUAAUUGAUAGUGUUUGUUUAUUCUUGUCUAGCAUUUUUCAAAUUACCUAGCUAGCUAGCUUAGCAUUUUUAUAUUACUAUACUUUUUUUGAAUGACCCUCUGGCGUUUGUAGCGAACUAAGUUACUAGCUAACCUUGGGUCUCCGUCGAUCAGAAGCAAGGAUGGCUCUGUGCUAUGUACCGGUUUGUAACCACUACUCUGAUAAGCACACACAUGCAUUUAAUCGUUUUCUGACCUCUGUAAUCGAGAGGCGUCGCUGGAGCGGUGUGAUAAGAUGGGUGGACCGGAAACCCAAUGACAACACUCGGGUCUGUGGCUGCCAUUUUCCGGUGGGAAAGAGAAAUGGCCCUGUAUUUACCAAAAAAGGUAGCUCAUCCACCAUGGCAGAAGAGGAAGAUCCAGACUGUUGAUUGGGAAACAACAACAAAAAAUGAGGCAUGAGGAUUGGGUUUUGAGGGAUCUCUUGUCACAUUGUCCAAGGAGUGCAUCCCUCAGGCCAUCCGGUGCAUGGACAUCCUGUGCCAGUGUGACCCGAGCACAAGCGUCCAGUUUUAGAUCAUUGGAUUCUUGGUCACCUCCCUGACCAAGGCCCUUCUCCCCGAUUGCGCAGUUUGACCGGGCGGUC